GUACACUCCUGCGGGAGGCAGCAGUAGGGAAUCUUCCACAAUGGGUGCAAACCUGAUGGAGCAAUGCCGCGUGAGUGAAGAAGGUCUUCGGAUCGUAAAGCUCUGUUGUUAGAGAAGAACACGUGCUAGGUAACUACUAGCGCCUUGACGGUAUCUAACCAGAAAGUCACGGCUAACUACGUGCCAGCAGCCGCGGUAAUACGUAGGUGACAAGCGUUGUCCGGAUUUAUUGGGCGGAAAGGGAGCGCAGGCGGUCUGUUUAGUCUAAUGUGAAAGCCCACGGCUUAACCGUGGAACGGCAUUGGAAACUGACAGACUUGAAUGUAGAAGAGGAAAAUGGAAUUCCAAGUGUAGCGGUGGAAUGCGUAGAUAUUUGGAGGAACACCAGUGGCGAAGGCGAUUUUCUGGUCUAACAUUGACGCUGAGGCUCGAAAGCGUGGGGAGCGAACAGGAUUAGAUACCCGGGUAGUCCCAUGA
rnacentral:rRNA from 1 species